AAGAAAUCGAACAAAUAACUUAAUGUACACACAUCCCAUUUAUUUCUGCGCCAGAAACUAAAGUUACCUGAUUGAGAUUAAUGUCAGAACUUCCUCUGUUUUGUGCAACCAAGGUUUGAUCUUUUUUGGUCUAAGCACUGCCUUAUUAGUAGUUUGAGAACUUGUAUGGUGCAGCAGGAAGCUACCAGAGGCAAAAUGUACACUUGCUGUUAAGACAAAGGUUAGAAUCAGGCAAAACAGUACCUGCUGAUAAUGAUAUGGAUGCCCACUGGACAUAGGCAGCAUCAGGUGGCUUACUUCAUGUGAUGAUUUGUGUCCUGCCUGAUGUGAUGCCUGCAUGUGUUAGAGACAUAAGACUCUAACAUAAAGCUACAUCAAGAUUUGGAAAGUUUUAAGAAAAUCAAAUGACUUCCCCCCC
ensembl:lncRNA